rnacentral:rRNA from 1 species
UACGGGGGGGGCAAGCGUUGUUCGGAAUUACUGGGCGUAAAGGGCUCGUAGGCGGCCAACUAAGUCAGACGUGAAAUCCCUCGGCUUAACCGGGGAACUGCAUCUGAUACUGGAUGGCUCGAGUUUGGGAGAGGGAUGCGGAAUUCCAGGUGUAGCGGUGAAAUGCGUAGAUAUCUGGAGGAACACCGGUGGCGAAGGCGGCAUCCUGGACCAACACUGACGCUGAUGAGCGAAAGCCAGGGAGCAAACGGG